CCUACGGGUGGCAGCAGUGGGGAAUAUUGCACAAUGGGGGAAACCCUGAUGCAGCGACGCCGCGUGAGUGAAGAAGUAUUUCGGUAUGUAAAGCUCUAUCAGCAGGGAAGAAAUAAAGUCCUUCGGACUUUGGACGGUACCUGACUAAGAAGCCCCGGCUAACUAAGUGCCAGCAGCCGCGGUAAUACGUAGGGGGCAAGCGUUAUCCGGAUUUACUGGGUGGAAAGGGUGCGUAGGCGGGCUGUUAAGUCAGCGGUCAAAUGUCGGGGCUCAACCCCGGCCUGCCGUUGAAACUGACGGCCUCGAGUGGGCGAGAAGUAUGCGGAAUGCGUGGUGUAGCGGUGAAAUGCAGAGAUAUCACGCAGAACUCCGAUUGCGAAGGCAGCAUACCGGCGCCCUACUGACGCUGAGGCACGAAAGCGUGGGUAUCGAACAGGAUUAGAUACCCUGGUAGUC
rnacentral:rRNA from 1 species